rnacentral:rRNA from 1 species
CCUACGGGACGCAGCAGUGGGGAAUAUUGCACAAUGGGGGAAACCCUGAUCCAGCGACGCCGCGUGAGUGAAGAAGUAUCUCGGUAUGUAAAGCUCUAUCAGCAGGGAAGAAGAAAUGACGGUACCUGACUAAGAAGCCCCGGCUAACUACGUGCCAGCAGCCGCGGUAAUACGUAGGGGGCAAGCGUUAUCCGGAUUUACUAGGGGUAAAGGGAGCGUAGACGGCAGCGCAAGUCUGGAGUGAAAUGCCGGGGCCCAACCCCGGAACUGCUCUGGAAACUGUGAAGCUGGAGUGCCGGAGAGGU